rnacentral:rRNA from 1 species
UACGUAGGGGGCAAGCGUUAUCCGGAUUUACUGGGUGUAAAGGGAGCGUAGACGGCAAUGCAAGUCUGGAGUGAAAGGCGGGGGCCCAACCCCCGGACUGCUCUGGAAACUGUAUAGCUGGGGUGCAGGAGAGGUAAGUGGAAUUCCUAGUGUAGCGGUGAAAUGCGUAGAUAUUAGGAGGAACACCAGUGGCGAAGGCGGCUUACUGGACUGUAACUGACGUUGAGGCUCGAAAGCGUGGGGAGCAAACAGG